rnacentral:rRNA from 1 species
GACGAACGCUGGCGGCGUGCUUAACACAUGCAAGUCGAACGGAAAGGCCCUGCUUUUGUGGGGUGCUCGAGUGGCGAACGGGUGAGUAACACGUGAGUAACCUGCUCUUGACUUUGGGAUAACUUCAGGAAACUGGGGCUAAUACCGGAUAGGAGCUCCUGCUGCAUGGUGGGGGUUGGAAAGUUUCGGCGGUUGGGGAUGGACUCGCGGCUUAUCAGCUUGUUGGUUGGGUAGUGGCUUACCAAGGCUUUGACGGGUAGCCGGCCUGAGAGGGUGACCGGGCACAUUGGGACUGAGAUACGGACCAGUGUCCAACGGGAGGCAGCAGUGGGGAAUAUUGCACAAUGGGCGGAAGCCGGAUGAAGCAGCGCCGCGUGCGGGAUGACGGCCUUCGGGUUGUAAACCGCUUUAGCCUGUGACGAAGCGUGAGUGACGGUAAUGGGUAAAGAAGCACCGGCUAACUACGUG